rnacentral:rRNA from 1 species
UACAGAGGUCCCAAGCGUUGUUCGGAUUCACUGGGCGUAAAGGGUGCGCAGGUGGCCGCGCAAGUUCGAUGUGAAAGCCCCGGGCUUAACCCGGGAAUGGCAUUGAAAACUGCGUGGCUGGAGGAUCGGAGGGGGGACUGGAAUUCUUGGUGUAGCGGUGGAAUGCGCAGAUAUCAGGAGGAACACCGGUGGCGAAGGCGGGUCUCUGGGCAGUAACUGACGCUGAGGAGCGAAAGCGUGGGGAGCGAACAGG